CACCGUGAAGCCUACCUUUUAAGGGCUUCACGGUACAUGCCCCCCUCGAAAAAGACCAGUCUGUCCCCAGACUGAGAAAGUUUUGCCCGAUAAUGAAAAUAUUGUGAGUGGCAGAUCGCCAGUGACCCCAAUGACAAACGGUGUUACAGUGUGACCCGUAGUAAAUAAAAAGAGAUAAGGUUCAUUGAUAAUCAGUUGUGAUAAAAACCCGAACGACCUUUCAACGCCGCACACGCCUCGCCAUGUUCUUUCACCAUUUUUACCCAGAAAUUAUAUAUGCAGCGACUGAAUGUUGAAGAUGGAUCCUCCUCGCCGUGACCAAGAUGAACCCUGGAUAUUGGACGCUCCCCGCUUUCAGAUUCGGAAGGAGCAUUUGGUUGAGAGAAAGACGAAAAGGACCGACCGGUGAGCCCGGAAUGACCAAAAUCGAGGUGAAAUUGGUUAAGAGCUUGAACUUGGGUUUCUUCAGACCCCGCUUGUAAACUCCAGAAAGUAGCAUUUAUUGGACCUGCAUUAGUCGUCGGUACCUGGGCAAAGGUAGCAACCGUGAAAAUAGCUGGCGCCCGCACACCGCACGUUUUACACAGAAGUUUCAGACUCACUACUCGCAGCCUUGCUGCCAGCUUCCCCUUGUACGGAAGAAGAAGCCUGCUUACCCACCUCGUCUGCCUGGAGUUCAGUUUGGUGACCCCCGUCCGUCUCUUCAUGAAGAGGCGCAGGUUCCCGAUGGUUGAAAGGAAUGUCUUCCUCAGCAAGAGGUUCACCCUCACAGGGAAUGUCAGAAGGUUCAAAGAAAUACUUGUACCGAAUGCGGUCAUACGUUUUUGCUGCCGCCAUGUGCGCCGCCAUCGGCUGAUCAUGAGAAAACUCGAGAAUCUGCGGAACCAGUUUCGAAGGGACAACCGUAAGAUGCAAGAUUUUCGGACCGUGUUUAGUGGGAAGCUGUACAAUUCGUUUGAAUACCUGCUCCACUAGGGCAUAUUUAUCAGCUUCUUUUUCUACCCUUGAUGCAAUGGACCUAUCUUGAGGCAACGUGCCGUGUUCCAAAUACUGGAUUAUGUGUCUCAAUUCAGGAUCUUCGUGUUGUGCCGCCUGUAACGAAUCUAA